CUACGGGGUGCAGCAGACGCGAAACCUUUACAAUGCACGAAAGUGUGAUAAGGAGACUCCGAGUGCUCUUGCGAAAGUAAGAGCUUUUGUCAAGUGUAGAUAGCUUGAUGAAUAAGGACUGGGUAAGACCCGUGCCAGCCGCCGCGGUAAUACGGGCAGUCCAAGUGGUGCCCACGAAUAUUGGGCUUAAAGCGUUCGUAGCUGGUCUUGACAGUCUCAGGUGAAAGCCCGCGGCUUAACCGAUGGGAAGUGCUAGAGAUACUACAAGACUUGGAGGCGGGAGAGGUUAGAGGUACUUUUGGGGUAGCGGUAGAAUGUGUUAAUCCUGAAAGGACCACCGGUAGCGAAGGCGUCUAACUAGAACGAGCUCGACAGUGAGGAACGAAGGCCAGGGGAGCAACCCGGAUUAGAUACCCUGGUAGUC
rnacentral:rRNA from 1 species